UGGCAGUCAGAGGCGAUGAAGGACGUGCUAAUCUGCGAAAAGCGUCGGUAAGGUGAUAUGAACCGUUAUAACCGGCGAUGUCCGAAUGGGGAAACCCAGUGCAAUUCGUUGCACUAUCGUUAACUGAAUACAUAGGUUAACGAGGCGAACCGGGGGAACUGAAACAUCUAAGUACCCCGAGGAAAAGAAAUCAACCGAGAUUCCCCCAGUAGCGGCGAGCGAACGGGGAGCAGCCCAGAGUCUGAAUCAGCUUGUGUGUUAGUGGAACGGUCUGGAAAGUCCGACGGUACAGGGUGAUAGUCCCGUACACCAAAAUGCACAGGUUGUGAACUCGAAGAGUAGGGCGGGACACGUGGUAUCCUGUCUGAAUAUGGGGGGACCAUCCUCCAAGGCUAAAUACUCCUGACUGACCGAUAGUGAACCAGUACCGUGAGGGAAAGGCGAAAAGAACCCCGGCGAGGGGAGUGAAAAAGAACCUGAAACCGUGUACGUACAAGCAGUGGGAGCACCUUCGGGUGUGACUGCGUACCUUUUGUAUAAUGGGUCAGCGACUUAUAUUCUGUAGCAAGGUUAACCGUAUAGGGGAGCCGCAGGGAAACCGAGUCUUAACUGGGCGUUAAGUUGCAGGGUAUAGACCCGAAACCCGGUGAUCUAGCCAUGGGCAGGUUGAAGGUUGGGUAACACUAACUGGAGGACCGAACCGACUAAUGUUGAAAAAUUAGCGGAUGACUUGUGGCUGGGGGUGAAAGGCCAAUCAAACCGGGAGAUAGCUGGUUCUCCCCGAAAGCUAUUUAGGUAGCGCCUCGUGAACUCAUCUUCGGGGGUAGAGCACUGUUUCGGCUAGGGGGUCAUCCCGACUUACCAACCCGAUGCAAACUACGAAUACCGAAGAAUGUUAUCACGGGAGACACACGGCGGGUGCUAACGUCCGUCGUGAAGAGGGAAACAACCCAGACCGCCAGCUAAGGUCCCAAAGUCAUGGUUAAGUGGGAAACGAUGUGGGAAGGCACAGACAGCCAGGAUGUUGGCUUAGAAGCAGCCAUCAUUUAAAGAAAGCGUAAUAGCUCACUGGUCGAGUCGGCCUGCGCGGAAGAUGUAACGGGGCUAAACCAUGCACCGAAGCUGCGGCAGCGACACUAUGUGUUGUUGGGUAGGGGAGCGUUCUGUAAGCCUGCGAAGGUGUGCUGUGAGGCAUGCUGGAGGUAUCAGAAGUGCGAAUGCUGACAUAAGUAACGAUAAAGCGGGUGAAAAGCCCGCUCGCCGGAAGACCAAGGGUUCCUGUCCAACGUUAAUCGGGGCAGGGUGAGUCGACCCCUAAGGCGAGGCCGAAAGGCGUAGUCGAUGGGAAACAGGUUAAUAUUCCUGUACUUGGUGUUACUGCGAAGGGGGGACGGAGAAGGCUAUGUUAGCCGGGCGACGGUUGUCCCGGUUUAAGCAUGUAGGCUGAUUGUCCAGGCAAAUCCGGAUAAUCAAGGCUGAGGUGUGAUGACGAGGCACUACGGUGCUGAAGUAACAAAUGCCCUGCUUCCAGGAAAAGCCUCUAAGCAUCAGGUAACAUUAAAUCGUACCCCAAACCGACACAGGUGGUCAGGUAGAGAAUACCAAGGCGCUUGAGAGAACUCGGGUGAAGGAACUAGGCAAAAUGGUGCCGUAACUUCGGGAGAAGGCACGCUGGUGUGUAGGUGAAGUCCCUGCGGAUGGAGCUGAGACCAGUCGAAGAUACCAGCUGGCUGCAACUGUUUAUUAAAAACACAGCACUGUGCAAACACGAAAGUGGACGUAUACGGUGUGACGCCUGCCCGGUGCCGGAAGGUUAAUUGAUGGGGUUAUCCGUAAGGAGAAGCUCUUGAUCGAAGCCCCGGUAAACGGCGGCCGUAACUAUAACGGUCCUAAGGUAGCGAAAUUCCUUGUCGGGUAAGUUCCGACCUGCACGAAUGGCGUAAUGAUGGCCAGGCUGUCUCCACCCGAGACUCAGUGAAAUUGAACUCGCUGUGAAGAUGCAGUGUACCCGCGGCAAGACGGAAAGACCCCGUGAACCUUUACUAUAGCUUGACACUGAACAUUGAGCCUUGAUGUGUAGGAUAGGUGGGAGGCUUUGAAGCGUGGACGCCAGUCUGCGUGGAGCCAACCUUGAAAUACCACCCUUUAAUGUUUGAUGUUCUAACGUUGGCCCCUUACCGGGGUUGCGGACAGUGUCUGGUGGGUAGUUUGACUGGGGCGGUCUCCUCCCAAAGCGUAACGGAGGAGCACGAAGGUUAGCUAAUCCUGGUCGGACAUCAGGAGGUUAGUGCAAUGGCAUAAGCUAGCUUGACUGCGAGCGUGACGGCGCGAGCAGGUGCGAAAGCAGGUCAUAGUGAUCCGGUGGUUCUGAAUGGAAGGGCCAUCGCUCAACGGAUAAAAGGUACUCCGGGGAUAACAGGCUGAUACCGCCCAAGAGUUCAUAUCGACGGCGGUGUUUGGCACCUCGAUGUCGGCUCAUCACAUCCUGGGGCUGAAGUAGGUCCCAAGGGUAUGGCUGUUCGCCAUUUAAAGUGGUACGCGAGCUGGGUUUAGAACGUCGUGAGACAGUUCGGUCCCUAUCUGCCGUGGGCGCUGGAGAAUUGAGGGGGGCUGCUCCUAGUACGAGAGGACCGGAGUGGACGCAUCACUGGUGUUCGGGUUGUCAUGCCAAUGGCACUGCCCGGUAGCUAAAUGCGGAAGAGAUAAGUGCUGAAAGCAUCUAAGCACGAAACUUGCCCCGAGAUGAGUUCUCCCUGAGACUUUAAGUCUCCUGAAGGAACGUUGAAGACGACGACGUUGAUAGGCCGGGUGUGUAAGCGCAGCGAUGCGUUGAGCUAACCGGUACUAAUGAACCGUGAGGCUUAACCUU
rnacentral:rRNA from 1 species